UACGUAGGGACCAAGCGUUGUUCGGAUUUACUGGGCGUAAAGGGCGCGUAGGCGGCGCGGUAAGUCACUUGUGAAAUCUCUGAGCUCAACUCAGAACGGCCAAGUGAUACUGCAGUGCUAGAGUGUGGAAGGGGCAAUCGGAAUUCUUGGUGUAGCGGUGAAAUGCGUAGAUAUCAAGAGGAACACCUGAGGUGAAGACGGGUUGCUGGGCCAACACUGACGCUGAUGCGCGAAAGCCAGGGGAGCAAAC
rnacentral:rRNA from 1 species